rnacentral:pre_miRNA from 1 species
AUAAUACUCCCUCCGUCCGGAAUUACUUGUCAUCAAAAUGGAUGACAAUGGAUGUAUGUAGAACUAAAAUACAUCUAGAUACAUCCAUUUCAAUGACAAGUAUUUCUGGACGGAGGGAGUAACAA